rnacentral:rRNA from 1 species
AAUGAACGCUGGCGGCGUGCCUAACACAUGCAAGUCGCGCGCGAAAGGGGGCAACCCUGAGUAGAGCGGCGGACGGGUGAGUAACACGUGGGUAAUCUGCCUGGGAGCGGGGAACAACCUGGGGAAACUCGGGCUAAUACCGCAUACGACCGCGGGUUCUCGAAUCCGCGAGGAAAGGUCGCAUCUCCUUGCAAGCUACCACCCCCAGAGGAGCCCGCGCCGGAUUAGCUAGUUGGUGAGGUAAUGGCUCACCAAGGCGACGAUCCGUAGCCGGCCUGAGAGGGCGAUCGGCCACACGGGAACUGAGACACGGUCCAGACUCCUACGGGAGGCAGCAGUGAGGAAUCUUGCGCAAUGGGCGAAAGCCUGACGCAGCAACGCCGCGUGGAGGAUGAAGGUCUUCGGAUUGUAAACUCCUGUCAGAGGGGACGAACGCUUGCGGGCUAAUCACCGCAAGCUUGACGGUACCCUCAGAGGAAGCCACGGCUAACUCUGUGCCAGCCGCCGCUGUAAAAC